CCAUAUCCUCCCUGCCCAAGUUUGAAGCUUUCAGAGAAAUUGAAUGUUGCAGUUUGCAAAUCAGAUAAUGAAAAUUCUGCUAACUUGGGCAUAUCUUCAACAAAACCAAGCAGCCCAUUACAGUUUGGAGCUCCAGCUUGCCUGUGAUUUUUCCAUCGCUCAAGCCAAUGUGCAGCUUCUAUUUUCUGCCGUCGGAUCCUCUGCUUUUCUUGCCAUAGAGAUGCAAUGGAAGUUUGAAUGAGUUUCAAUUCUCCAUCAACUUCAUCCCGCCUACGAUUUGCUUCUCGUACACGACUGUCCAGAAGAGCAACAUUUCUCAUGGUCCUCUGUAGCUCUUUAGUUACUUCAUCUUUCUCUUCCAAGAAUUUUUCUUGUUCCUCUAUUGUAUGUCUUAGUGCAUUCUCAGCUUCUUUUCUAUGUUUAACUUCAUUUGCAUAGGCAGAAUCAAAGAUUUUGACCUUGCUGAUGGCUUCCAAAGUUUGGAAUUCCAAUUUUUUGCGCUUCACCAGUUCUUCAAAUGCUUCAUUCCUAGAUGCUUCUGCUUCUAUCCUUGCUUC
rnacentral:misc_RNA from 1 species